rnacentral:tRNA from 2 species
GCCAACCUAGCUCAGUUGGUAGAGCAACGCAUUCGUAAUGCGUGGGUCGUGGGUUCGAUUCCCAUGGUUGGCUUUU